rnacentral:rRNA from 1 species
CAGCAGCCACGGUAAUACGGAGGGUGCAAGCGUUAAUCGGAAUUACUGGGCGUAAAGCGCACGCAGGCGGUCUGACAAGUCAGAUGUGAAAUCCCCGGGCUUAACCUGGGAACUGCAUUUGAAACUGUCAGGCUGGAGUCUUGUAGAGGGGGGUAGAAUUCCAGGUGUAGCGGUGAAAUGCGUAGAGAUCUGGAGGAAUACCGGUGGCGAAGGCGGCCCCCUGGACAAAGACUGACGCUCAGGUGCGAAAGCGUGGGGAGCAAACAGGAUUAGAUACCCGAGUAGUCCCUGUCUCUUAUAC